rnacentral:tRNA from 1 species
AUUUAAAUAGCUUAUUUAGAGCAUAAUAUUGAAGAUAUUAAGGAAAUAGAUAUAUUUUUAAAUA